rnacentral:lncRNA from 1 species
UCCUGAAUGAUGAGAAACAAAGGCAUAUCCAGUCUCCCUCUCAUUUUAAUCCGGAUUUUCUAUCUUUUAAUGCCUACUCUAACAGGAAGCCAGACUCUAACAAGGCUGCAAUGUCUAAUACUUUCUCUUCUUUUAAACAAAGAGAUAACUUUGAUCAAGGUAGAGGGUCGUUGUUCUGUAGAUACUGUAAGAAGUCUGGGCAUCUAAUUAAUAAAUGCUUCAAACUUCAUGGGUAUCCACAACAUACAACCUUCAAAGGGAGGAAAUCUGGUGCUGUUAAUGCUGUUGCUUCAAAUUCUGAUGGUCAUUUGUCUGUUCCUCAAGGGAAUCCUGCUGCCCACCAUGAAUCUGUCUCAAAAACAGAUGGUCAGUCUUCUGUGAUACCUGGGUUGAGCAGUCAGC